rnacentral:lncRNA from 1 species
GUGCCGCGUCGCUUUCUUUUCUUCCUCUGGAGCAGUUAUGGCGGCGGCGAAGACCCUGAACCCCAAGGCCAAGGUGGCCGGAGCGCAGGCGGCGCUGGCGUUCAACAUUAGCGGGGCGCGGGGUCUGCAGGACGUGCUGAGGACCAACCUGGGGCCCAAAGGGACCAUAAAGAUGGCCUUCAUCCCAGAAUAAUCACUGAAGGAUUUGAAGCUGUGAAGGAAAAGCCCUUCAUUUUUUGGAAGAAGUCAAAGUAAGCAGAGAGAUGGACAAGGAAACACUUAAAGAUGUGGCCAGGGCAUCUCUUUGUACUAAAGUUCAUGCUGAACUUGCAGAUGUCUUAACAGAGGCUGUAGUGGGCUCCAUUUUGGCCAUUAAAAGAAAAGAUGAACCUAUUGAUCUCUUCAUGAUUUUGUGAUCAUUGACAAGAAACAUAAAUCUGAAACUGAUACAAGAGAAGUGAAUUCUGGCGUUUUUUACAAGAGUGCAGAAAGAGAAAAACUCAUAAAAGCUGAAAGAAAAUUCAUUGAAGAUAGAGUUAAAACAAAUAAUAGAACUGAAAAGGAAAGUCUGUAGUAAUUCAGAUAAAGGAUUUGUUAUUAAUCAAAAGGGAAUUGACCCCUUUUCCUUAGAUGCUCUUUCAAAGAAGGCAUAGUCGCUCUUCACAGAGCUAAAAGGAGGAAUAUGGAGAGGCUGACUCUUGCUUGUGGUGGGGUGGCCCUGAAUUCUUUUGAGGACCUAAGUCCUGACUGCUUGAGACAUGCAGGACUUGUAUAUGAGUAUACAUUGGGAGAAGUUCACCUUUAUUGAGAAGUGUAACAACCCUCGUUCUGUCACAUUAUUGAUCAAAGGACCAAAUAAGCCCACACUUAGAUCAAAGAUGCAGUAAGGGAUGGCUUGAGGGCUGUCAAAAAUGCUAUUGAUGAUGGCUGUGUGGUUCCGGUGCUGGUGCCGUGGAAGUGGCAAUGGCAGAAGCCCUGAAUAAAUAUAAGCUCAGUGUAAAGGGCAAGGCACAGCUUGGAGUCCAAGCAUUUGCUGAUGUGUUGCUCGUUAUUCCCAAGGUGAGCCCGUGGUAGCAGCAGAAGCAGGCAUUAUGGGAUAACGAUUGUGUAAAGAAACAGCUUCUUCAUUCCUGCACUGGUUGCCACCAACAUUCUCUUGGUUGAUGAGAUCAUGCGAGCUGGAAUCUUCUCUGAAAGGUUGAAUUGAAGCUUCCUCUGUAUCUGAGUCUUGAAGACUCUGCAAAGUGAUCCUGAAGAAUACAGCUGUGGAAUUUUUGUCCAAGCUUCAAAUGAGUUUCAAGGGAAUUUUCCCAUGUGAAAAAAGGAGAGAACACUGGCAUCUGUUGAAAUUCGGAAGUUCUGAAAUUAUAAUCACAGUAUUUUUUAAAAAUUGCACUGAAGUGUACACAGAUAAAGCAGGUCUUUCACCCAGUGAACAGGAUGUUUUGCUUUAGCAGCAGUGACAUAAAAUUCCAUGUUAAAUAAGCAUAUAUUACCUACCUUAUUAAAUAUUCCUUGAAAAAGCAG